UUUUCAAAUGCAAUCAAGGCUUCCUAUAUACGGGCGGAAAGGCGGCUUCCUCCGCUGAGAAAGCUGAAGGUCCUUACCUGCGGCGUACGGACUGCUCUGGUGGUCCCUGAGGGUGCCCAGGCUGCAGGAUCCCGGCGUGAGGGAAGGGCAGCCGGACGUGGCCCCAAAAGUGGUCCUUAUCGGGUUAUACUGGAAGCCACUGGCCUGGCUGCAGGAACUGAAGUCAGCAUAGGCUGAAGCCAGGCUCGAGGUGUCCAUCCCAGCCAUACAGGACUCGUAGGCAGAGGAAUUGAGGGUUCUCACAACCAAUUGAAAGAGAAUAAAACAUUCUCUUGCUUCAUAACCAAAGUGCUGCUCACACUUACAGCAACCUUUGGAAGGGGAAUCCUGGCUAUUGAUGUCCCUGGAAAGAGAGUGGUAGAAGAAAAGAAAUUGAAGACAUGGAAGAAAGAUGAAAACGCUGGCUACUAAAUACCUAUGUGUGGUUACUGAGUGUGGUAUACUUGGACACCGAGCUCCCCCACCCAUCAGAUGUCACAAAGAGUCCUCUUACUCUUGGAUAAUUUCAAAUCAAACUGACCUCCCCAGCAUGAAUGUUUCUGCAAAAGAAUGAAAGCAAAAUACUGAAGCAAAUAUCAGGCGAGAUUUUGGCUCAUGCACAGAAAGUCAAAUAUCCAUCGACCUCAGUUACCUGCAGCUCAGCGAGGAAGCCACUGAUGAUCAGCAAAAUUCCUAAGCAGCAAAAGCAGCAGCACAAAAAUUAAGAUUCCAUCAGCCACGCACUCUCUCACUUUGUCACUCUUCUUUGAACCCCAUUCAAAAAAAAAAUAAUAAGCAUUCUCAGUUCUCUUAGCCCUAAGGAACAGAUUGCAAUGUGACAAUGGAUUCUGGUGGGAAUGAUGAAGGAAAUAGAAAACUUUCAAAGGUGGACACAGGAAUUCAAAAUAUGUAUGUGAGCCAGACGUGGUAGCUCGUCUUGUAAUCCCAACAUGUUGGGAGGCCAAGUGGGAGGAUUAGAGUUUGAGAUCAGGAGUUUAAGACCAGC
rnacentral:lncRNA from 1 species